rnacentral:snoRNA from 1 species
GGGGUGUGUUCAGAGCAGAGGGCCUGAAGUAGUGGCUUCUCUGUUUACGACACACUCCAUAGGAAUCUGGGUUCAAGGGGCACAAAACUCAUAAUCUUACUUUGAAUAAACACCCAGCACGU